rnacentral:rRNA from 1 species
CUACGGGAUGCACCAGUGAGGAAUAUUGCACAAUGGGGGGAACCCUGAUGCAGCAACGCCGCGUGGAGGAUGACGCAUUUCGGUGUGUAAACUCCUUUUAUAUGUCAAGAAAAUGACGGUAGCAUAUGAAUAAGCACCGGCUAACUCCGUGCCAACAGCCGCGGUAAUACGGAGGGUGCAAGCGUUACUCGGAAUCACUGGGCGUAAAGGACGCGUAGGCGGGUUGGAAAGUCAGGUGUGAAAUCCUACAGCUUAACUGUAGAACUGCACUUGAAACUUCUAAUCUAGAGUAUGGGAGGGGGAGAUGGAAUUAGUGGUGUAGGGGUAAAAUCCGUAGAUAUCACUAGGAAUACCUAAAGCGAAGGCGAUCUCCUGGAACAUUACUGACGCUAAGGCGUGAAAGCGUGGGGAGCAAACAGGAUUAGAUACCCCGGUAGUC